rnacentral:rRNA from 1 species
GGCCAGACUCCUACGGGAGGCAGCAGUGAGGAAUAUUGGUCAAUGGCCGAGAGGCUGAACCAGCCAAGUCGCGUGAGGGAUGACGGCCCUACGGGUUGUAAACCUCUUUUGCCGGGGAGCAAAGAGCGGGACGCGUCCCGCCUCGAGAGUACCCGGAGAAAAAGCAUCGGCUAACUCCGUGCCAGCAGCCGCGGUAAUACGGAGGAUGCGAGCGUUAUCCGGAUUUAUUGGGUUUAAAGGGUGCACAGGCGGAAGCGCAAGUCAGCGGUAAAAUUGCGGGGCUCAACCCCGUCGAGCCGUUGAAACUGGCAGACUUGAGUUGGCGAGAAGUACGCGGAAUGCGCGGUGUAGCGGUGAAAUGCAUAGAUAUCGCGCAGAACUCCGAUUGCGAAGGCAGCGUACCGGCGCCAGACUGACGCUGAGGCACGAAAGCGUGGGGAUCGAACAGGAUUAGAUACCCCUGUA